UGUAAAAUUUUAAAGGUCGAACAGACCUAAUAUUGUAGCUUCUACACCAAAAAUUUAUUUUAAUCCAACAUCGAGGUCGCAAUCUCUUUUUUUAAUACGAACUCUAAAAGAAAAUUACGCUGUUAUCCCUAAGGUAAUUUUAUCUUAUAAUCAAAAAUAUUGGRUCAUUCACUCAUAAAUUUAUGUUUUAAAAUAAAAAAAGUUAUUCUAAUUUUUCAAUCACCCCAAUUAAAUUAUUUAAUAUAAUURAUAAAUAAAUACUAAAAUAUUAUUUUUAUUAAAUAAUUAAACUCUAUAGGGUCUUCUCGUCUUUUAACUUUAUUUAAGCUUUUUAACUUAAAA
rnacentral:rRNA from 1 species